rfam:TPA: Bos taurus chromosome 22, whole genome shotgun sequence.
UCCCUGGUGGCUCAGAGGUUAAAGUGUCUGCCUGUAAUGCGGGAGUCCUGGGUUCGAUCCCUGGGUUGGGAA